ACUCCUACGGGAGGCAGCAGUGGGGAAUUUUGGACAAUGGGCGCAAGCCUGAUCCAGCAAUGCCGCGUGCAGGAUGAAGGCCUUCGGGUUGUAAACUGCUUUUGUACGGAACGAAAAGUCUUGGGUUAAUACCCUGGGAUCAUGACGGUACCGUAAGAAUAAGCACCGGCUAACUACGUGCCAGCAGCCGCGGUAAUACGUAGGGUGCAAGCGUUAAUCGGAAUUACUGGGCGUAAAGCGUGCGCAGGCGGUUUUGUAAGACAGUGGUGAAAUCCC
rnacentral:rRNA from 1 species